GGUCCUAUAGUCUAGUGGUUAGGACGUUGGAUUUUGAUAACCAUUCAAAUUUCUUCCGAAGUCCCCGGUUCGAACCCGGGUAGGACCU
rnacentral:tRNA from 3 species